CCACCAUUCGUCAAACUUUUAUGACCCCCUCCCCCACCCGUUGACAGGUCGUGUUUUAUGACCCCUUUGACAGGGGGGCGGGACCAUCAAUCAAAAUCUGUACAAGUUGUCAACUUUAGACAGAGAAUGUUUUAUCGUUUUAUGACGGGUCAUUUAGUGGUUUGUUUAUUCCUGAGUGUGUUUUAUGUCAAGCGUAUGCUGUCAUUAAACAUGACGGCUCGUGUUUGUGACAUUUGCUGUUUAUUGACAUUUGAUGUCAGCUCUCAACCAUACUCCCUUCUUUGCUCGCCCGUGCGCUUCUCAAUACUGCGUGUCACACCGCGGGUGUGUUGUUGAAUCUAAAGUUUUGCAACAGCAUAAGUUUAUUUAAAGGCAAUCACGAAUCAUAUAUAUAUAUUAGAUGUACCUGGCUACACUUAAAGCCGAUGUUUUCUAUCGAGCUAUAGUUUCUGAUCAGACACAAAGUCUGAACUAAAUAAAAUUUUAAACGGUUCAUGAAGUCCGGUUAUCUUUUCAUGACCUGGUCUAUAGUUUCACACGUAUUAAAGAUCCGGCGGUGUCUGACAAAGCGGCGGGUGAUCGUUCAUAUCUGUCAUUUUAAAAUAAAGUUAAUAAAUGUAAUUCUGUCCACUAUGGCAAAAUAGGAGUUUUAUUUAAGAUUUAGGGGAAUCUUUAACCAUGUCUCUGAUUAAAACUUUUGAUUGUAACAUCACAAGUUAUUUAAUUAAAUAUUCCGUAUACGGGUAUAGUUUAGGCAAUGACCUGAGCCAUUACCUUCGGAGCCGGCAAUACUACAAUCUUUAGACGAUAGUCUAAACUAAAUAAAUUUUUAAACGGUUCAGGAAUUCCGUGAAUCUUUUCAUAACCUGCACUAUAGUUUCACGCGUAUUAAAGAUCCGGAGGUGCCUGACAAAGUACCGGGUGAGCGUUCAUAUCUGCCAUUUUAAAAUAAUGUUAAUAAAUGUAAUUCUGUCCACUAUGGCAAAAUAGGAUUUUAUUUUAGAUUUAGGAGAAUCUUUAACCAAGUCUCUGAUUAAGACAUGUGUAUACGUGCACAGAUGGUGACAGAGAAACUUAUAUAUGACGUUAAUAAACUUUUAAAUGUUUUUAAGACGUAUUCACCCCAUUUUGGGGGUUUUAUUUUUAAAUAAAGGCUUCUUAAAACAUGUGUGAAUAUGUGUAUAUUAUACAAAGAGUCUUAUAUUGUCUGCUCUGACAAAAAUAAAGUAUUAUUCUAGACUUAGGGGAAUUGACUGCAUGUGUCUUAUAAAUACAACUUGAUAAUACGUUUGUUUUGUAAAGAGACUUCUUUAAAGUCACGCAAGAAUAAAAUAUUUUAGUUGUAACUGGUUAAACUUAAAGCCGAUAUUUUCUAUCGAACUAGUCUAUUUUCUGUACAGACACAAAGUUUUCUGAUGCUGAUAUUAUGUCAGUGUGUGUUUGUGUGGGGGUCGUGUGAUAUAAUCUUUGCAAAGUUUAUGACCGAACCUUUAUUGGGGAGCGACAAGAGAUCCCCCGGAAUCAGUUUGGAUGGAGCAGAGCUGUUAUACUCAAGUCUAUUGGUAUGUAUGUGUUUCGCUGUGUUCGUUCCAGUAUUUUGUCUGAUUUAUUUAAAAACUAAAAAUUCGAUCUCUGGUAUUGCAGCGAAAUUGUCUAAACUGGUAUUAACUAUUCCUGGUAAAUCGCGGAGAAGAGUGCCCUGAACAAAAAAGUCAGACCGAGACUAGAACCUCCCGCAGCGUAACACGGAAAUCUUGGAACAAAAGAGACGCCGACUGGCUCGUGUUGUCCGGUUUGGAUAUCAGAGGCAAAGCGAACGUUGUGUGUACUAUUGCAAAAUAUAUAGCGGAUCUCCACGGUUAGGAUACAGACCACAACGCUUUGGACGUAUCUUUAAAAAAGAUUAAAAUCAGAGACUUUUUGGAUUUGUCUGGGGACAUUUUAAACAUUUUGUGGCAAAUUGGAUUUAAAACAUUUCGGAUACUGGAUACCUAGUUUGAUUUGUCCACAGAGCUUGUUUAAGACGUUUUCACCGCAUUUUAGGGUUUAUUUUUAAUUAAAGGCUUCUUAAAACAUGUGUGAAAAUGUGUAUAUUAUACAAUGAGUCUUAUAUUGUCUGCUCUGACAAAAAUAAAUUAUUAUUUUAGAUUUUA